GACCACGUAGCUCAGUUGGCAGAGCAUUGGGCUAGCAUUCCCGAAAGGUCGUAGGUUCGAUUCCCACCGUGGUCA